rnacentral:rRNA from 1 species
AUUGAACGCUGGCGGCAGGCCUAACACAUGCAAGUCGAGCGGAUGAAGGAAGCUUGCUCCUGGAUUCAGCGGCGGACGGGUGAGUAAUGCCUAGGAAUCUGCCUGGUAGUGGGGGAUAACGUCCGGAAACGGGCGCUAAUACCGCAUACGUCCUGAGGGAGAAAGUGGGGGAUCUUCGGACCUCACGCUAUCAGAUGAGCCUAGGUCGGAUUAGCUAGUUGGUGGGGUAAAGGCCUACCAAGGCGACGAUCCGUAACUGGUCUGAGAGGAUGAUCAGUCACACUGGAACUGAGACACGGUCCAGACUCCUACGGGAGGCAGCAGUGGGGAAUAUUGGACAAUGGGCGAAAGCCUGAUCCAGCCAUGCCGCGUGUGUGAAGAAGGUCUUCGGAUUGUAAAGCACUUUAAGUUGGGAGGAAGGGCAGUAAGUUAAUACCUUGCUGUUUUGACGUUACCAACAGAAUAAGCACCGGCUAACUUCGU